AAUUCUCAAUUUUUAUAGCCUUGUGUUAUGAAAAUUGGAUUUGGGAGCUUAUGUAGGAUUCACAAAGUUCUACUCUCCUUAAAUAUAUUAGCUGGAAUGCCUUUGCAAAGCCAACUAUCAGUGUGAUAAUUAUCUAUGCUGGAGUGGUUGCAUAAAGGGAAUCUGCUUCUCAACCGUCCUCUGGACAAUAUGAAUCA
rnacentral:misc_RNA from 1 species